rnacentral:rRNA from 1 species
CGAAAGAUUAGCUAAUACCGCAUACGACCUACGGGUGAAAGCAGGGGACCUUCGGGCCUUGUGCUAUCAGAGCGGCCGAUAUCUGAUUAGCUAGUUGGUGGGUAAAGGCCCACCAAGGCGACGAUCAGUAGCUGGUCUGAGAGGACGACCAGCCACACUGGAACUGAGACACGGUCCAGACUCCUACGGGAGGCAGCAGUGGGGAAUUUUGGACAAUGGGGGCAACCCUGAUCCAGCAAUGCCGCGUGAGUGAAGAAGGCCCUCGGGUUGUAAAGCUCUUUUGUCAGGGAAGAAAAGGUUGUGGCUAAUAUCCACAGCUGAUGACGGUACCUGAAGAAUAAGCACCGGCUAACUACGUG